rnacentral:rRNA from 1 species
UACGUAGGGUGCGAGCGUUAAUCGGAAUUACUGGGCGUAAAGCGUGCGCAGGCGGUUUCGUAAGACAGACGUGAAAUCCCCGGGCUCAACCUGGGAACUGCGUUUGUGACUGCGAGGCUAGAGUACGGCAGAGGGGGGUAGAAUUCCACGUGUAGCAGUGAAAUGCGUAGAGAUGUGGAGGAAUACCGAUGGCGAAGGCAGCCCCCUGGGUUAGUACUGACGCUCAUGCACGAAAGCGUGGGGAGCAAACAGG